GGAUGUGAGGGCGAUCUGGCUGCAACAUCUGUCACCCCAUCGAUCGCCAGGGUUGAUUCGGCUGAUCUGGCUGACUAGGCGGGUGUCGCCUUCCUCCCUCACCACUCCAUGUGCGUCCCUCCCGAGGCUGCGCGCUCCGUCCAAGAGGACGACCUUCCCGGCUAGAGGAGGACCGUACUUCUGUCAAGGGUAUUCGAGUAGCUGCGCUCCCCUGCUAAAACCUCCGAACAAGCUCUCAAGGUCCUUGUGUUGACUAUAGGAUUACUUACAUUUUGCACCCGAAGAGGAGACCACAUUCUUU
rnacentral:snRNA from 1 species